rnacentral:tRNA from 1 species
ACUUAAAUAAAUUAAAAAAAAUAUUGAUUUGUGGUGUCAAAAAUAUGAUGUUAGUCAUUUUAGGUU